rnacentral:misc_RNA from 1 species
GAAGGAUCAUUAUUGAAAUAGCACGACGGGAAGCUGUUGCUGGCCCUAGUGGCCGUGCACGCUUUCUGUCCUUCAUUUCUCCAUCUAUUUGUGCACCUCUUGCGUAGACCCCUCUGUUAGGACUGCUUUGCAAAAUUGAUUGUGGGCUUUCCUUGUUUCUACGUCGUCAUAUACACCAGUGUAACGAUUUGGAAUGAAUGGAAUUUUGAUGCAAUAUAUAAAGCACAACUUUCAGCAACGGAUCUCUUGGCUCUCGCAUCGAUGAAGAACGCAGCGAAAUGCGAUAAGUAAUGUGAAUUGCAGAAUUCAGUGAAUCAUCGAAUCUUUGAACGCAUCUUGCGCUCCUUGGUAUUCCGAGGAGCAUGCCUGUUUGAGUGUCAUUUGACUUCUCUCAACCACAUCAUUAUUUUUUGAUGUGCGCUUGGAUGUGGGGGUUUGCAGGCUUCUUUUUCUAAUGAAAGCUGGCUCCCCUGAAAUGCAUUAGUGGUAAUCUGAGCUGCUAUUGGUGUGAUAAUUUAUCUAUGCCUUUGGUAAUUGCUGGUCAGCACCGCUUAUAACAACCAACAUUUGACAAAUUUGACCUCAAAUCAGGUAGGACUACCCGCUGAACUUAAGCAUAUCAAUAAGCGGAGGAAAAGAAACUAACAAGGAUUCCCCUAGUAACUGCGAGUGAAGCGGGAAAAGCUCAAAUUUGAAAUCUG